rnacentral:tRNA from 1 species
GGCCAGGUAGCUCAGUUGGUAGAGCAUCUGAUUGAAAAUCAGAGGGUCACCGGUUCAAGUCCGGUCCUGGCCACCA